rnacentral:misc_RNA from 1 species
AAAAAAAAAAAAAAAAAGAAUCUAGUGCCUGAGAAGAAACAAAAACAAAGAUACAUACACAGUAGGCUUAACGACAAAAUAAAAAUCAUCAUUUUCUCAGUUAAGUAUCCUUCGUUUUACCAAUUCAGACACAUACUUUAAUCAGUGUUAUAUUCAUAUUCUUAGAUUUCUUUCUAAAAUUAUCAUUAAUUUGUUAAUAUGGAUGUUAAGCAGGAGCUGCAGAUGCAUGUGCUCACAAGAUGAUCUGAUAUAAAACUUCUAGAGCCAUAUACCAAAUCAAAUAGACCAUCGUCACACGAUUUUCAUUGUCAAAUCAUAUAAGCUUGAGGAGGCAUUGUUCGUCCUAAUUUGCUCUUUCUCAGCACGGCGUGGUCCCAAAUCUCCGAUUUAGUGUCUACAUUAAUAACAAUGAACAGAAAGCUAAUGAAAGAUAUGAUUAGAAAUGUAAUUAAAGCUUAUAAAACCUGUUGGGAAUCGAAGAAACAUUGGCCUUCUUAACCCAAUGUGGAGAUGGCCUGUCUGAUGGAUGUCUGUGCCUAUCCUGAAUUUUUAAAACAAGAAGUUGAGGUACAUAUAUAGUUACAAUGAUAUGAAAGUUCAAUUUAGAAUCAAACCAAUGUCACACAAUCCAUGAAAGAUCCAUCAGAAACUGAUGAA